AGAGUUUGAUCCUGGCUCAGGACGAACGCUGGCGGCGUGCUUAACACAUGCAAGUCGAGCGAUGAAGUUUUCUUCGGGAAACGGAUUAGCGGCGGACGGGUGAGUAACACGUGGGUAACCUGCCUCAUAGAGUGGAAUAGCCUUCCGAAAGGAAGAUUAAUACCGCAUAACGUUGAAAGAUGGCAUCAUCAUUCAACCAAAGGAGCAAUCCGCUAUGAGAUGGACCCGCGGCGCAUUAGCUAGUUGGUGGGGUAACGGCCUACCAAGGCGACGAUGCGUAGCCGACCUGAGAGGGUGAUCGGCCACAUUGGGACUGAGACACGGCCCAGACUCCUACGGGAGGCAGCAGUGGGGAAUAUUGCACAAUGGGGGAAACCCUGAUGCAGCAACGCCGCGUGAGUGAUGAAGGUUUUCGGAUCGUAAAGCUCUGUCUUUGGGGAAGAUAAUGACGGUACCCAAGGAGGAAGCCACGGCUAACUACGUGCCAGCAGCCGCGGUAAUACGUAGGUGGCGAGCGUUAUCCGGAUUUACUGGGCGUAAAGGGAGCGUAGGCGGAUGAUUAAGUCUGAUGUGAAAGCCCACGGCUCAACCGUGGAGGGUCAUUGGAAACUGGGAAACUUGAGUGCAGAAGAGGAUAGUGGAAUUCCAAGUGUAGCGGUGAAAUGCGUAGAGAUUUGGAGGAACACCAGUGGCGAAGGCGACUGUCUGGUCUGUAACUGACACUGAGGCGCGAAAGCGUGGGGAGCAAACAGGAUUAGAUACCCUGGUAGUCCACGCCGUAAACGAUGAGUGCUAAGUGUUAGGGGGUUUCCGCCCCUUAGUGCUGCAGCUAACGCAUUAAGCACUCCGCCUGGGGAGUACGACCGCAAGGUUGAAACUCAAAGGAAUUGACGGGGGCCCGCACAAGCGGUGGAGCAUGUGGUUAAAUUCGAUGCAACGCGAAGAACCUUACCAAGGCUUGACAUGUUCCAGACCGCCUCAGAGAUGGGGUUUCCCUUCGGGGCUGGUUCACAGGUGGUGCAUGGUUGUCGUCAGCUCGUGUCGUGAGAUGUUGGGUUAAGUCCCGCAACGAGCGCAACCCUCGUUCCAUGUUGCCAGCGGGUUAUGCCGGGGACUCAUGGGAGACUGCCGGGGUCAACUCGGAGGAAGGUGGGGAUGACGUCAAAUCAUCAUGCCCCUUAUGUCUUGGGCUUCACGCAUGCUACAAUGGCCGGUACAAUGGGUUGCGAUACUGUGAGGUGGAGCUAAUCCCUAAAAGCCGGUCUCAGUUCGGAUUGGGGUCUGCAACUCGACCCCAUGAAGUCGGAGUCGCUAGUAAUCGCAGAUCAGCAACGCUGCGGUGAAUACGUUCCCGGGCCUUGCACUCACCGCCCGUCA
rnacentral:rRNA from 1 species